ensembl:lncRNA
AUGCCUAAGCUGAAGAGAUUUAGAAUGCGGCGUGAGCCAUCCAACAACAAACGCAAGGCAGAUGUUUCUAAUUCUGAUGCUUGUGUUUGUCCAGAUGUGGUGGGCAUUGUAGCAGCCAAUGAGGUUAGAUUGAAGUCUGCAGAGGUGACUGAGGAGUUUGUGGGAGUAGCUUGUAGUGUAGUUUCAGUUGUUAAGCACAAGAUACAGAAUGUGUGUACUUGGCAAAAAUCUGACAUUCAGGACAUACGUAGUGAGGGUAGUAAACUGAUCAAUGACGUGACUAGGUGUAAAAAAAAAACUGAGAGUUAUGGAGACUGUCGAUUUUCUCAAUGGUUUGGUGGCCAAUAUGACAUUUUCAGUAAAACAUGCAAAGUAACAAUAGAACAAUCACUGAAUGGAGCAAAAAAUGACUUGUAUGAGAAAUUACAGGAGAUUUUGUUUAGUCAUGAAUCUUGUUUGGUCAACAUAAAAGGAGACACGUGUGCUAUUGUGAGACAUAAUGAUUUCUAUGUUGUUGCUGACUGUAAUGUCCGAAACGCAUGUGGUUUGGGAUCAGACAUUGGAACUGCAGUUGUUGUUCUCAACACAAAUUGGCAUGACCUAUUUUUGCACAUUGAUAAUUUAAUGAUAAGUCUGAAUGCAGAAAACUUUAGCAUAUGUGGAAUCAAUGUCAACUUUACGUCAACAGAUACGCCACGAUUUGUUUACAAUGAUAAUUUUGGAGAAAAGAGUGUAUGUACAGCAAAUGAGACUGAAGAAAUCUCAGCUUCUACAAUAAAGCAAAGAGAAAGUGUUAGUAGCAUUUGUGGAUCAUUUCAUCAGGGUGACCUUAAGUUCAAGUGGCCAGGGAAACAGUGUGUUGCGAUUAGUUUGACUGCUAUAGCGAUGCACAGUGUACAUAGUGUGUUCUCAUGGGAAAGUAAAGAUCUAGAUAAUGUUGUAAAUACUGGCGAUAGCUUGUAUUCUAGUUUGCGUCAAAGUGGUUUAAUCAGUGAUCCAACAGGGAAAAACUUGCCGUGUAUACAAGAUCUUCCUAAAGAAUAUGCGUUUGGUACAAAUGCAUUCAAAUUUGAAUAUGCUGAUUUUGUUUCUGGAUAUGUAGAUGUGGUUGAUGCAGAUUUUAUUAGAUCUGGUGCAUGUGUGACAUUAGCUGAUGGAUUGCAAACAAUGUUUGCAAAAUAUGACACAUGCUUUUUUACCUUAAAUGGAAGUACUUGUGCCAUUAUUAAGGAAAAUGGUAAGUUUGCUGUGGUUGAUUCUCAUGCACGUAGCAGUGCUGGGAUGGUUGAUGGUAACGGCUUUAGUGUGGCUGUAUAUUAUAAUUCACUUAGUUGUGUUUUGAAGCACAUUGAAAAUUUGUCUGUAUUCACUAGAAGAAGCCAAAAGAUUUUUGAAAUAAGUGGUGUUUGUGUCCUAUUUAAAAGCCAAGACAAAUCUGCUAGUCACACAGAAAACAUAAAUGACGAAAGUGAAAAAACGACCUGCAGGGGUAAAAAAAGAAUGCACAAUUGUAUAAAUGUCAGUGUGGAAGAAGAGAAAGAAAUUGUGGUUACUAAGAAGCCGAGACAAUCUUUAAAAGAGAGCACUAAAAUACUUGAAACAAUUUCCAAAAUUGAUGCAAAUUCAGAUGUAGUUUGUUUGGGCAAUGAGACAAAUAGGAUUUUUAAUUUCAGUCCACUGUGUACUGAAGUAAAGCAUAAAUUAAGUAGUAAACUUAAUAUAGAGUUUAAUAGCGAAAAUUUAGUUUUUCCAACAAACAGCAGAAAAAUGGGCCAUCCGUGUAAAACAGAUAGUAUUGUAGGUGAUGGUAAUUGUUUUUUU